rnacentral:rRNA from 1 species
GACGAACGCUGGCGGCGUGCUUAACACAUGCAAGUCGAACGGAAAGGCCCUGCUUUUGUGGGGUGCUCGAGUGGCGAACGGGUGAGUAACACGUGAGUAACCUGCCCUUGACUUUGGGAUAACUUCAGGAAACUGGGGCUAAUACCGGAUAGGAGCUCCUGCUGCAUGGUGGGGGUUGGAAAGUUUCGGCGGUUGGGGAUGGACUCGCGGCUUAUCAGCUUGUUGGUGGGGUAGUGGCUUACCAAGGCUUUGACGGGUAGCCGGCCUGAGAGGGUGACCGGCGACAUGGGGACUGAGAUACGGCCCAGACGCCUACGGGAGGCAGCAGUGGGGAAUAUUGCACAAUGGGCGGAAGCCUGAGGCAGCAACGCCGCGUGCGGGAUGACGGCCUUCGGGUUGUAAACCGCUUUCGCCUGUGACGAAGCGUGAGUGACGGUAAUGGGUAAAGAAGCACCGGCUAACUACGUG